rnacentral:rRNA from 1 species
GAAGUGCGAAUGCUGACAUAAGUAACGAUAAAGCGGGUGAAAAGCCCGCUCGCCGGAAGACCAAGGGUUCCUGUCCAACGUUAAUCGGGGCAGGGUGAGUCGACCCCUAAGGCGAGGCCGAAAGGCGUAGUCGAUGGGAAACAGGUUAAUAUUCCUGUACUUGGUGUUACUGCGAAGGGGGGACGGAGAAGGCUAUGUUGGCCGGGCGACGGUUGUCCCGGUUUAAGCGUGUAGGCUGGUUUUCCAGGCAAAUCCGGAAAAUCAAGGCUGAGGCGUGAUGACGAGGCACUACGGUGCUGAAGCAACAAAUGCCCUGCUUCCAGGAAAAGCCUCUAAGCAUCAGGUAACAUCAAAUCGUACCCCAAACCGACACAGGUGGUCAGGUAGAGAAUACCAAGGCGCUUGAGAGAACUCGGGUGAAGGAACUAGGCAAAAUGGUGCCGUAACUUCGGGAGAAGG